UACGUAGGUGACAAGCGUUGUCCGGAUUUACUGGGCGUAAAGAGCGCGCAGGCGGUCGAUCAAGUCGAGUGUGAAAGCCCCCGGCUCAACUGGGGAGGGUCAUUCGAUACUGAUCGACUCGAAGGCAGGAGAGGGUAGUGGAAUUCCCGGUGUAGCGGUGAAAUGCGUAGAUAUCUGGAAGAACACCCGUGGCGAAGGCGGUUCUCUGGGACGGUACUGACGCUGAGACGCGAAAGCGUGGGGAGCGAACAGG
rnacentral:rRNA from 1 species